rnacentral:rRNA from 1 species
ACCCAGCCGAAAGGUUGGCUAAUACCGCAUGAGUUCUACGGAAGAAAGAGGGGGACCCGCAAGGGCCUCUCGCGAGCGGAGCGGCCGAUGACUGAUUAGCCUGUUGGUGAGGUAACGGCUCACCAAAGCAACGAUCAGUAGCUGGUCUGAGAGGACGACCAGCCACACUGGGACUGAGACACGGCCCAGACUCCUACGGGAGGCAGCAGUGGGGGAUUUUGGACAAUGGGCGCAAGCCUGAUCCAGCUAUUCCGCGUGUGGGAUGAAGGCCCUCGGGUUGUAAACCACUUUUGUAGAGAACGAAAAGACAUCUUCGAAUAAAGGAUGUUGCUGACGGUACUCUAAGAAUAAGCACCGGCUAACUACGUGCCAGCAGCCGCGGUAAUACGUAGGGUGCAAGCGUUAAUCGGAAUUACUGGGCGUAAAGGGUGCGCAGGCGGUUGAGUAAGACAGAUGUGAAAUCCCCGAGCUUAACUCGGGAAUGGCAUAUGUGACUGCUCGACUAGAGUGUGUCAGAGGGAGGUGGAAUUCCACGUGUAGCAGUGAAAUGCGUAGAUAUGUGGAAGAACACCGAUGGCGAAGGCAGCCUCCUGGGACAUAACUGACGCUCAGGCACGAAAGCGUGGGGAGCAAACAGGAUUAGAUACCCUGGUAGUCCACGCCCUAAACGAUGUUAACUAGUUGUUGGGAUGUAACAAUCUCAGUAACGCAGCCAACGCGAGAAGUUAACCGCCUGGGAAGUACGGUCGCAAGACUAAAACUCAAAGGAAUUGACGGGGACCCGCACAAGCGGUGGAUGAUGUGGAUUAAUUCGAUGCAACGCGAAAAACCUUACCUACCCUUGACAUGUCAGGAAGCUCUUGUAAUGAGAGCGUGCCCGCAAGGGAGCCUGAACACAGGUGCUGCAUGGCUGUCGUCAGCUCGUGUCGUG